AGCGAACGCUGGCGGCAUGCCUAACACAUGCAAGUCGCACGGUCGGGGGGUGACCUUCGGCAGUGGCGGACGGGUGAGUAACGCGUAGGGAUCUAUCCUUGGAUGGGGGACAACCGCGGGAAACCGCGGCUAAUACCGCAUGAUGCCUGGGGGCCAAAGCUCGCGAGAGCGUCUGGGGAGAGCCUGCGUCCGAUUAGCUUGUUGGUGGGGUAACGGCCCACCAAGGCGUCGAUCGGUAGCUGGUCUGAGAGGAUGAUCAGCCACACUGGGACUGAGACACGGCCCAGACUCCUACGGGAGGCAGCAGUGGGGAAUAUUGGACAAUGGGCGCAAGCCUGAUCCAGCAAUGCCGCGUGGGUGAAGAAGGUCUUCGGA
rnacentral:rRNA from 1 species